rnacentral:rRNA from 1 species
CGAGCGCGCCUUCGGGCGAGCGGCGGACGGGUUAGUAACGCGUGGGAACGUGCCCAGAUCUACGGAAUAGCCACUGGAAACGGUGAGUAAUACCGUAUACGCCCUUAGGGGGAAAGAUUUAUCGGAUUUGGAUCGGCCCGCGUUAGAUUAGGUAGUUGGUGGGGUAACGGCCUACCAAGCCUACGAUCUAUAGCUGGUUUUAGAGGAUGAUCAGCAACACUGGGACUGAGACACGGCCCAGACUCCUACGGGAGGCAGCAGUGGGGAAUCUUGGACAAUGGGGGCAACCCUGAUCCAGCCAUGCCGCGUGAGUGAAGAAGGCCCUAGGGUCGUAAAACUCUUUCGCCUGUGAUGAUAAUGACAGUAGCAGGUAAAGAAACCCCGGCUAACUCCGUGCCAGCAGCCGCGGUAAUACGGAGGGGGUUAGCGUUGUUCGGAAUUACUGGGCGUAAAGCGCACGUAGGCGGAUUAGAAAGUUAGAGGUGAAAUCCCGGGGCUCAACCCCGGAACUGCCUUUAAAACUACUAGUCUAGAGUUCGAGAGAGGUGAGUGGAAUUCCGAGUGUAGAGGUGAAAUUCGUAGAUAUUCGGAGGAACACCAGUGGCGAAGGCGGCUCACUGGCUCGAUACUGACGCUGAGGUGCGAAAGUGUGGGGAGCAAACAGGAUUAGAUACCCUGGUAGUCCACACCGUAAACGAUGAAUGCCAGUCGUCGGGUAGUAUACUAUUCGGUGACACACCUAACGGAUUAAGCA